CAGUCUCCUCUUCUCCAAGCUAAAGAGACCCAGCUCCCUCAGUCUUUCCUCAUAAGGGAGAUGUUCCACUCCCUUAAUCAUCUUCAUGGCUCUGCACUGGACUCUCUCAAGCAGUUCCCUGUCCUUCUUGAACUGAGGGGUGCAGAACUGGACACAGUAUGCCAGAUACGGUCUCACCAGGGGUUAAGGAGAACCUCUAUUGACCUACUCACCACACCCCUUCUAAUACACCCCAGGAUGCCACUGGCCCUCUCGACCACAAGGGCACAGUGCUGGCUCAUGGUCAUCCUGCUUUCCAACAGGACCCCCAGGUCCCUUUCCCCUACGUUGUUCUCUAGUAGGUUGUUCCCCAACUUACACUGGAACCUGGGGUUGUUCCUGCCCAAAUAUAAGACUCUACACUUGCCCUUGUUACAUUUAAUUAAAUUUUUCCCUGCCCAACUCUCCAGCCUGUCUAGGUCUGCUGUAGGCUGGGCUUACCCAGCAUUUGAUAUCACUCUUCAAGGUGUAUUAGUCCUUCAACAGGCAAGGUGGGAAUCAGUACAGAAGGUGCAGUGUACACAUACACAAAGAAAAAAAAAAAAAAGGAGUAAGUGGGUUUUGAAAAGGAGGUUUCUGAAUGACUAUAUGGCAGACCUAAAGGGACCUUAGCUACUCCAUCAACUCUGGGCCAGAAGAUACUUCCUGCCAUACAGAGUGAUGGGAUCACAGUGACCCCAUUCAGGACAGGCCAGCAAAAAAGCCAUCGGUGCAAGUUAGAAUAGGCAGGAGAGCAGACUCACAGUAUGAUGGUAGAUGAUGUUUUCCAAGCAGGCGUCUAAUGUGUGGGGCAUUUUCAGAAACCUGAGUAGGCUUAAGAGAAGUGGUAUAAUUGUGUCUUAGAGUAUCACGCUUUCCAGUAAAUUUGUCUCUAGACUGCUUUCCAAACACAGAAACUUUCAUUAGUACUGUCACUGCCUGUGUCUACAAGGAUGUGACCUACACUUCCCAAGCUCACUGUCAUCAAGCAGGUUGCUCUCUACAUUGUUUAAAAUGGUUCUGAGUGGCUAAAUGAGCAGAGAAAUUCACAAAACACUGAAGAGAGAGGAAAAGGGAGACAAAGAUAAGCCAUGGAAACUUUCUGGAAGUGAAUCUGGGAAUUCAUGAAGAUGAACUUUCUUGAAAGGAAAUUAAGUUUUUCAGCACUCUGAACAAGCUCUGACCAGAAGUUAGUUUUCGAAGAAUUGCAGUUCCAGACACAUGUCCACCAUAACAAACACCAGUACCACCGAACCCAAACUCUACAUCUAAAUAGCGUUCCUCGUCUUUAGGAAAUGGAGGCAUGGGUCCAGAUUUUGGUAUCAAUGACACAGUUUUCCUUUAUCUCUACUUCAAAAAGUUUUCCCUGCAUUUAUGUAACCAGUAGGUGGGUACUAGCCCACGUGCAUGGUGGUCUGCCGAAACAAAUCACCCAACAGUGUCUCAGCUCUUCUCUCUCAUGGCAUUUUCAAAUUCAUUGUAGCUCCAGUAAUUUUGAGGAGAAACUUUCCUACGGGGAGAGGAACAGUCCUACUAUAAGUGAUCCGCGCACACACUUAGGCGACUGUUUGGCAAGAAAGAUGUGUGUGAGCAUGUAUAUUUAUGUAUAUGCAUGUGCAUGUGUGUGUACUUGUACCAGUGCACACAGAGAAAUGCAAAAAUCAGAGGGAUUGGGAAAGAAAAGAGAGGACGGGGAACUGGCAAGCUGUAUGUUGCUUGUUAGAUACUGUACACUUGUAAUUAGUAAGAAGGAAGAGGAUGAGAAACCUAGAUGGCAGGAAGAGGCAAGUAUAUAUGACUGUGCUGAUUACAGAUAAAAGACUUUUUAAUGAGCAUGCUUUUAUUACUAUAGGGAAAUUUAUCCCUAGAUAUAGGCUAAGAAAAAAAAAUCCUGCUUCUUUGCUCAGUAGUCAAGGAGUGAUCACAAGAAGAUAGCAUUUUAGAGUUAAUUUUAAUCAAGUAGCAAGGACUUUAUAGAAAAGAAACUCAUGAGAAAUAUCCUCAGGUAUAAAGAUUAGUGCAUUUAGAUUAAAUGAAUUAAUAAACAAAAGUCAGUCUAUGAUAAGGAAUAUUCUUAUUACUUCAAAAAGUACAUUUUGGGAAGUUAAAGGAAUAAUUAGUUAAGAGGCAGGAGAAUUUAGGGACUUAAAUGCAGAGGACAAAUUCAGUAGAGAUUCCUUUAAUUAAGAGAUAGACACAGAAAUAAUCUGUAAGUUUCCUCCAAAAUGAGAAAAAUGUUCUAAGAGAAGGCUCCACAUCCUCACAACCAAAUAAAAAAAAUGAAAUUAUCAUUUGGAGAAAAGAGAAGACUUGGCACAGAAAAAAACAACAAUGCAACAACAAAAAUAAUUAGUUGUUGUACAGAAAAUCAAAAUUGAUAAAAUGCAUGAGGUCACGCAUACAAAGAGGUUUGUGCUGAGAUUAACGUUAAUCUACAGAUGCCCUCUGUGAUACUUUGCCUUCAAUUUCAAAAAGAGCAAAUUAAUUGGUCCAAGGGUUUCCUCCAAAUAAAUAAGCUAAAAUACAACAAAUACAUCUCUUUUGUACCAUCUACCCAAAAGCUACACAAGCCAGUUUCUCAACGCAAAGAAGGCCUAUGUCUAUCCAGUAUAACUUUUCACAAAAUCAUAUAAUAAUUUUGGUUGGAUAAGACCUUUAUAUUCAUAACCAGAUUACCCAGUCUCAGUUUAAAUGACCUGAAAACCUUCAGCAAGGUUUGUGAAUUAGGACUGAAUUUCAAUUCAGGUAACUAAAGAAAGUAAGUUUAGGUUUUAUAGAUAAAAAGGAAAGAUAAAGACCUGAGAAUUACAGCACAGUCAGCCUAAUGAUAUUAACUAGCAAGAUACUGAAACAUGCAAUUAAACAAUCAGUUUGCAAAUGCUUAAAGGUGAGGAGAAAUAGCAGACUUAAAAAUGUCAAGAGCACAUAGUGUCAGACUAGUUUCAUUUCCUUCUUUGAAAGGGAUCAACCUGUCAGAUUAAGAAGUUAGAGAUAUGAGUUACCUUGACUUUAGUAAGACUUUUGACAUUCCCUGUUGACAUCCUAUAAGGAAAUUUGAAACAUACGGCCUAUAAUAAAUUACUACAAGAUAUGUGUAAAGCUGAUCUAAGAAAGUACUUAAAGAUAAUCAUCAGUUAUUCAAGACAAACUAGGCAGAUAUCCAGGAGGAAGAUGAAGAGUACAUGUAUGAAAAUAGUUUUGUGGAGACAAAUGUGAUAUGAAAAUUUUAUUAUAAUUCAAGAAAGAAUUUUUACAAAGGGGAAAAUGUUGAAGCAGUUUGAUUCAUAAUUUUCUAGAUUAAACAUUCUGAUUAAGAAAUGCUGUAAUAGUUGCAUUAACAUUUUCUAAAAUCACUUUUGCAUUUGAAAAAUUAGUAUAAAUAUGUCUUAAAAGAUCAUAAAGUUUUAAUGAAUCAAAACCAAAACAAAUCAUGUCUUGUUGCAUUUCCAUCAUCUAAAAAAAAUAUUUUCCCCAUACUUUAAAACAUAAAUAAAUCAAAGAGGAUUCAAAUGUUGCUAUAACAAGACCGAUGAUCAGUUGAUUUUAUAUUCCCAAGAAAAAACGAAAUAGUCAUCUUAACUUUUAGUGAGCAAGAGUUGGUAAAGAGUUAGUAAAUAGUACACAAGCCUUUGCAACUAUACAGAGAUCUAAGCACUGGAACAAGGCAGCUAGAAAUGUCAUCGGUGCUUUCUGAAAGAUCAGAAAACAAACACCAAACAGGGAUGGUCUCUCUGUGACAUUCCACCUUAAGUGAAAGCAUGAAUCCAACGACAUCUUGAGAUCCUCUUGUCCAAUCUUUUACCCUGCUUAGUUGUCAGCUUCCUGGACAGGGAAUACAGUAGUGUGAAAGUGUUAUGCUGUCACCAUCCUCUCCAGGAAUAUCAGGGUCAGAAGGCAGGUUUCAUGAUAUGGAGUGUACAUCCUUUGGGUCAAGAUCAUAAUUUAGAUUUUAUUUACUACAAAAAGCUAUAGAUAUCUGGUGCAAUUUAAAUAUUUGAAAUUGAUCAAACCCUGUUAAUUACAGAGAUAGAAGUGUGCAAUAUGGGUCACUUGACAGGGUAGAGAGCAAAAAACCAAGAUUGUGAAAGAGGCCACGUGUAGUUAGAUGUUAAAACGCUUGUUUCUGAUGAACAAUGUUGAGUUUCUCUCUGUACACUAGCAGUCUUUUCUGUAAAUAUCUAUAGCAUAAAGCAAAACCGUGCAAUAAUUGAGAACUUCAAUAUAGAGGAUAUUGGUUCAUUAGAGCUGAAGAAUUUUUUUUGGCAAAGUUCUCUUUUUUAUUAAAUCCAAAAUGUUUCUUGAGGACACAGUCAGAUGGAUUGCUGUGUCAGAACUAAAGAGAGAGAGAAGAUGAAUAAAAAAGAGACUGCAGCUUUGUAGCUACAGUGUGAUAUGCAGUAUAAAAGAAUCAAGUUCAUGUUGGCUUGGAGUGAUUGGAAGGGACAGGGCAUUUUAGUAAUCAAACAGAUCCAUGAUUUGAAUAAUCAGGCUGCAGGUUAUGAUUAGAAGCAUCAAACAGAUUCAAAGAUUUGGGGAUUUUUGGCCUACAGCAAAACAAAAUUUAGAACCUUUCAAAAGAUGUCUAAAUUCAAAUAUUAUAUUUGUGAUCAAUACCAUGUGAAAGUCUAUAUUUCUGUGUAGAGGAAAAAUCCUCUUUCCUCCUUAGAAAAAAAUAAAUGUCUACUAUCAUUGCUUGCCUCCA